rnacentral:lncRNA from 13 species
GUUUUUAUCUCCACUCACUACUUGUAAAUUUAUAGUCCAUUCAUUUGUGUUGUUGGUCUUGGAUAGCUUAAUGUUCUGGUUGGUAGCUAGCUGGCACUCAGUCACAUGGCUAACGUUAGCGACAUAGGACGAUGCCUCAGGACUACCUGGCCUGAUGACUCCUUGCUGUCCCCAGUCCACCUGGUCAUGCUGCUGCUCCAGUUUCAACUGUUCUGCCUGUGGCUAUGAAACGCUGACCUGUUCNNNNNNNNNNAAAUAAAGACAUUGGCCUGUAGAUAUAUUUUGCACAGUAUUUAUAUUAUACAAAUAUAUGUAUGUGUAUCUGCAUAAUAAGUUCAUGAAAUAAUAACAAAAUGAUGAGUGCUGGCCAACCCUCCUCCUAGAGAGAUAGGUACAGUAAGCUUUUGCUCCAGCCUUGAUGAAACAUCAUUGUACUAAUCAGCAGCUCAUCAGCUCCUUGAUUAGCUGAAUCAGCUGCGUUAGAGUGGGGUUGGAGAAACAACCUGCAUACUCUGUUGCUCUCUAUCUCUCUAGAACAGGGGUGGGCAACUCCAGUCCUCGGGGGCCUGAUUGGUGUCACAGUUUUGCCCCAGCUAACACACCUGACUCUAAUAAUCACCUAAUCGUGAUCUUCAGUUUAGAAUUACAUUUGAUUAAUCAGCUGUGUGUGCUAGGGAUGGAGAAAAAGUGUGACACCAAUCAGGCCCUGGAGGACUGGAGUUGCCCACCCCUGCUCUAGAAGGAUCUGUCCUGGGGCUGCACAAUGAAGGUGAUUUGGUUGGUUUCCCCAGGUCAGCAACAUAUGGAUGACUGAACGGAUGACUGCUUUUCCAGUGACUGUUCUCUGGCUGUUCCCUCAUCCUGGUUAGCUGUUAACUCCCUGCUGUAGUAUGUCUCAAGGACCAAUUCAUGGUUCAAUUCAACUGGGCUAUGUAAAAGCACUACUCAGAUGCUUCCAAGAUGUGUGUCCUUGUUGUGUGCGUGUUUGUUUGUGGCUGAAUCUGUCUCUCUGUCAGUGUGGGUUCUCAUCCCAGAAAGUUGUGUUUCAUCCCAGAAAGUUGUGUUUCAUCCCAGAAAGUUGUGUUUCAUCCCAGAAAGUUGUGUUUCCUUCCAGAAAGUUGUGUUUCAUCCCAGAAAGUUGUGUUUCAUCCCAGAAAGUUGUGUUUCAUCCCAGAAAGUUGUGUUUCCUUCCAGAAAGUUGUGUUUCCUUCCAGAAAGUUGUCCACUCCCCUAUGCCCUUGGUCACUCCCCAUCACAGAUCCGAGAAGACAUGGCUAGG